rnacentral:misc_RNA from 1 species
UCCGGAUUAACUCCGGCAGUUUCCUUAGAGUUCUCAGCAUUACCUGUUAGCAACAAAGGAUGAGGGUUGCGCUCGUUGCGGGACUUAACCCAACAUCUCACGACACGAGCUGACGACAGCCAUGCAGCACCUGUGCUCCUCCCACCCGAAGUGAAGGGACAAAUCUCUCUGUCCCAUAGAGGGCAUGUCAAGGCCUGGUAAGGUUCUUCGCGUUGCCUCGAAUUAAACCACAUGUUCCACCGCUUGUGCGGGUCCCCGUCAAUUUCUUUGAGUUUUAACCUUGCGGCCGUACUCCCCAGGCGGGGUGCUUAACGCGUUAGCUACGCCACCGACUCAUCACACCACACAAAUUGUGUGUGGUGUGACGAGCCGACGGCUAGCACCCAUCGUUUAUGGCGUG